rnacentral:rRNA from 1 species
UACGUAGGGGGCAAGCGUUGUCCGGAAUCAUUGGGCGUAAAGCGCGUGUAGGCGGGACGGCACGUCGGUCGCUGAAAUCCCCCGGCUCAACCGGGGAACGGGCACCGAUACGACCGUCCUGGAGGGACGUAGGGGGACCUGGAACUUCCGGUGGAGCGGUGAAAUGCGUUGAGAUCGGAAGGAACGCCCGUGGCGAAAGCGAGGUCCUGGACGUUUUCUGACGCUGAGACGCGAAAGCCAGGGGAGCGAACGGG